rnacentral:rRNA from 1 species
UACGGAGGGUGCAAGCGUUGUCCGGAUUUAUUGGGUUUAAAGGGUGCGUAGGCGGUUCUUUUAAGUCUGGGGUGGAAAGCCCGUUGCCUCAACAACGGAACUGCCCUGGAAACUGGAGGACUUGAGUACAGACGAGGGUGGCGGAAUGGAUGGUGGUAGCGGUGAAAUGCAUAGAUACCAUCCAGAACCCCGAUUGCGAAGCAGCUGCCCUAGACUGUAACUGACGUGAGGCACGAAAAGCGUGGGGAGCGAACAGG